AGCACCUUGGCGCAGUGGAAGCGCGCGGGGCUCAUAACCCCGAGGGCCCUGGAUCGAAACCAGGAGGUGCUA